AUAAAGAAUAAUUAGUGGCAGACGGGUGAGUAAUGCAUAGGAAUCUACCUAGUAGUAUGGGAUAGCCACUAGAAAUGGUGGGUAAUACUGUAUAAUCCCUGCGGGGGAAAGAUUUAUCGCUAUUAGAUGAGCCUAUGUUAGAUUAGCUAGUUGGUAGGGUAAAGGCCUACCAAGGCGAUGAUCUAUAGCUGGUCUGAGAGGAUGAUCAGCCACACUGGAACUGAGAUACGGUCCAGACUCCUACGGGAGGCAGCAGUGGGGAAUAUUGGACAAUGGGCGCAAGCCUGAUCCAGCUAUGCCGCGUGAGUGAGGAAGGCCUUAGGGUUGUAAAACUCUUUCAGUAGGGAAGAUAAUGACGGUACCUACAGAAGAAGUCCCGGCAAACUCCGUGCCAGCAGCCGCGGUAAUACGGAGGGGGCAAGCGUUGUUCGGAAUUAUUGGGCGUAAAGGGCAUGUAGGCGGUUCGGUAAGUUAAAGGUGAAAUGCCAGGGCUUAACCCUGGAGCUGCUUUUAAUACUGCCA
rnacentral:rRNA from 1 species